rnacentral:rRNA from 1 species
GACGAACGCUGGCGGCGUGCUUACCACAUGCACGUCGAACGGAAAGGCCCUGCUUUUGUGGGGUGCUCGAGUGGCGAACGGGUGAGUAACACGUGAGUAACCUGCCCUUGACUUUGGGAUAACUUUAGGAAACUGGGGCUAAUACCGGAUAGGAGCUCCUGCUGCCUGGUGGGGGUUGGAUAGUUUCGGCGGUUGGGGAGGGACUCGCGGCUGAUCAGCUUGUUGGUGGGGUAGUGGCUUACCAAGGCUUUGACGGGUAGCCGGCCUGUGAGGGUGACCGGCGACAUUGGGACUGAGAUACGGCCCAGACUCAUACGGGAGGCAGCAGUGGGGAAUAUUGCACAAUGGGCGGAAGCCUGAUGCAGCAACGCCGCGUGCGGGAUGACGACCUUCGGGUUGUAAACCGCUUUCGCCUGUGACGAAGCGUGAGUGACGGUAAUGGGUAAAGAGGCACCGGCUAGCUACGUG